UUCAUUCAUCACUGGCCAAAUUGGCUAGAAACUUUACAAGCUUUCACGCUAAAGUUAUUUUAACCCGCAUUUGGCGGGUUGGCAGGUGUCCAUUUAAAGCCCUGGCCAAAACAAAUGAUUCU